CCUACGGGCGGCAGCAGUGGGGAAUAUUGCGCAAUGGGCGAAAGCCUGACGCAGCGACGCCGCGUGAGGGAUGAAGGUCUUCGGAUCGUAAACCUCUGUCAGCAGGGAAGAACGGUCACUGUGCUAAUCAGCAGUGAAUUGACGGUACCUGCAAAGGAAGCACCGGCUAACUCCGUGCCAGCAGCCGCGGUAAUACGGAGGGUGCGAGCGUUAAUCGGAAUUACUGGGCGUAAAGCGCUCGUAGGCGGUAUGUCAAGUCAAGGGGGAAAUCCCCGCGCGCAACGUGGGAACUGCCUUUGAAAAUGGCAAACUGGAGUGUGUGAGAGGAUAGUGGAAUUCCAGGUGUAGGAGUGAAAUCCGUAGAUAUCUGGAGGAACAUCAGUGGCGAAGGCGACUAUCUGGCACAUAACUGACGCUGAGGAGCGAAAGCGUGGGUAGCAAACAGGAUUAGAUACCCUGGUAGUC
rnacentral:rRNA from 1 species